rnacentral:tmRNA from 1 species
GGGGGUGUAAUGGCUUCGACAUGUAGUGGGUAUUAGUAACAUCAGUGGUUUGGUAGACCAUAAUACUUCUAGGCUUUAUAGUCGCAAAAAACGAAAACAAAGUUCAAAUCGAACUACAAGACUUGAUUAUGGCAAACCAAAAUCAAGCACAUUCAAACCUAGUUUUUGCUUAAUUUUGCAAUCUAGUGCACCAUUCAUCUCGCCUUAGGUGGUUGGUGUGGUUUAAAGGCUCGGUUGAUAUUUACACCUAAUAUCAAUUUAAAAUAAAAGUGUACUAAUAUUGAAUGUCUUUGUUUAUUUAACAUCUAUAUUAGCAACAGAAAUAAACUAAACUGUAAGAAGUGUUGCUAUGUCUUGCUAUGUGGACACGGGUUCAACUCCCGUCAUCUCCACCA